rnacentral:rRNA from 1 species
GAACGCUAGCUACAGGCUUAACACAUGCAAGUCGAGGGGCAGCAUUUCAGUUUGCUUGCAAACUGGAGAUGGCGACCGGCGCACGGGUGAGUAACACGUAUCCAACCUGCCGAUAACUCGGGGAUAGCCUUUCGAAAGAAAGAUUAAUACCCGAUGGUAUAAUCAGACCGCAUGGUCUUAUUAUUAAAGAAUUUCGGUUAUCGAUGGGGAUGCGUUCCAUUAGGCAGUUGGUGAGGUAACGGCUCACCAAACCUUCGAUGGAUAGGGGUUCUGAGAGGAAGGUCCCCCACAUUGGAACUGAGACACGGUCCAAACUCCUACGGGAGGCAGCAGUGAGGAAUAUUGGUCAAUGGGCGCAGGCCUGAACCAGCCAAGUAGCGUGAAGGAUGACUGCCCUAUGGGUUGUAAACUUCUUUUAUAUGGGAAUAAAGUUUUCCACGUGUGGAAUUUUGUAUGUACCAUAUGAAUAAGGAUCGGCUAACUCCGUGCCAGCAGCCGCGGUAAUACGGAGGAUCCGAGCGUUAUCCGGAUUUAUUGGGUUUAAAGGGAGCGUAGGUGGACAGUUAAGUCAGUUGUGAAAGUUUGCGGCUCAACCGUAAAAUUGCAGUUGAUACUGGCUGUCUUGAGUACAGUAGAGGUGGGCGGAAUUCGUGGUGUAGCGGUGAAAUGCUUAGAUAUCACGAAGAACUCCGAUUGCGAAGGCAGCUCACUGGACUGCAACUGACACUGAUGCUCGAAAGUGUGGGUAUCAAACAGGAUUAGACACCCUGGUAGUCCACACAGUAAACGAUGAAUACUCGCUGUUUGCGAUAUACAGUAAGCGGCCAAGCGAAAGCAUUAAGUAUUCCACCUGGGGAGUACGCCGGCAACGGUGAAACUCAAAGGAAUUGACGGGGGCCCGCACAAGCGGAGGAACAUGUGGUUUAAUUCGAUGAUACGCGAGGAACCUUACCCGGGCUUAAAUUGCAUUUGAAUAAUCUGGAAACAGGUUAGCCGCAAGGCAAAUGUGAAGGUGCUGCAUGGUUGUCGUCAGCUCGUGCCGUGAGGUGUCGGCUUAAGUGCCAUAACGAGCGCAACCCUUAUCUUUAGUUACUAACAGGUCAUGCUGAGGACUCUAGAGAGACUGCCGUCGUAAGAUGUGAGGAAGGUGGGGAUGACGUCAAAUCAGCACGGCCCUUACGUCCGGGGCUACACACGUGUUACAAUGGGGGGUACAGAAGGCAGCUACCUGGUGACAGGAUGCUAAUCCCAAAAGCCUCUCUCAGUUCGGAUCGAAGUCUGCAACCCGACUUCGUGAAGCUGGAUUCGCUAGUAAUCGCGCAUCAGCCAUGGCGCGGUGAAUACGUUCCCGGGCCUUGUACACACCGCCCGUCAAGCCAUGAAAGCCGGGGGUACCUGAAGUACGUAACCGCAAGGAGCGUCCUAGGGUAAAACUGGUAA